GACACCUCCAGCACAUCGUACCACGGGCCCCGUUACCAUGGAACGCAGAAGUAGAAUUCCUUUCGAGGGUUUCGAAGAUUCGAUCACGACCGCCUCGCAAUGGGUGUCGAGAAAGAUGGGAAGGAGGGGAGAUCGCUUCGAUCGAUGGUAAUACUGUGAUCUUUCGAUAGCACGGAAAGGGAGGAGAUGGAGGAUAGAGAGGCGGAGGUUCCACCUCUCAAGUUUGGCAUGGUGGCGGAGGAAAUCUACCGCUCGGGAUUCCCCACAGCCACCGAUUUCGGCUCCUUGGAAGAGCUGAUUAUCCGAACCAGGCGUUUUUACUGUCCCUUUUAUUUCUUUCCGUUGUUUUGGCCCGACGGCGACGUGGUUGAUGCUAUUGAAAUGGGGGAUUUGGCUGCAGGUUCUUGUGCCCGGAGCCUCACCCGGAGAAUAUAAUUCGCUUCCCUGGAUUCGUCUGUUCCUGUUCGGAAUCGAAGGUAGCAAUGCAUAAUCUCGUCAAUGAUGGUAUGCUACUUGUUGAUGUGUUCUUCCCUUCUUCUUGUUGGUUUAUUAUUUCUAUCAUGGGUAUUGAAACAACUGAGAAAUUACAUACUCUAUUGAUCGGAACAACAGGGACUAUUUUGGCCACAGGAUAUAUAGCUUUACAUACUAGUAAUUUUGUACUUGUAUUUGUCUUCCACUUUCAGGUUUAAUCUAAACAAUGAUGGUAUGCUAUGUAUUCUUCGUUUCUACCUGUUGAUUUAUUAAUUCUUUCAUUUGUCA